UACAGAGGUCUCAAGCGUUGUUCGGAUUCAUUGGGCGUAAAGGGUGUGUAGGUGGCGCCGUAAGUGGGGUGUGAAAUCUCGGGGCUUAACUCCGAAACUGCAUUCCAUACUGCGGUGCUUGAGGACUGGAGAGGAGACUGGAAUUCAUGGUGUAGCAGUGAAAUGCGUAGAGAUCAUGAGGAAGACCAGUGGCGAAGGCGGGUCUCUGGGACAGUUCCUGACACUGAGACACGAAGGUCCAGGGGAGCAAACGGG
rnacentral:rRNA from 1 species